rnacentral:misc_RNA from 1 species
CGCAGGCCGCGCCGCCCAUAUCGCCCUUCAUGUCUUCCAUGCUGCCUGCCGGCUUGAUGGAAAUGCCGCCGGUGUCGAAGCACACGCCCUUGCCGACAAAGGCAAUCGGCGCCUCGCCGGGCUUNNNNNNNNNNNNUGCGGCCGUCAUGCUCGGAGCCUUGCGAAACGCCAAGCAGCGCGCCCAUGCCGAGUUUCGUCAUCGCCCGGACAUCGAGAACAUCGACCUUGACGCCGAGCUUGCG